AUCGAACGCUGGCGGCAGGCCUAACACAUGCAAGUCGAACGAGUGGCGGACGGGUGAGUAAUGUCUGGGAAACUGCCUGAUGGAGGGGGAUAACUACUGGAAACGGUAGCUAAUACCGCAUACCAUCAGAUGUGCCCAGAUGGGCUUAGCUUGUUGGUGGGGUAACGGCUCCCCAAGACGACGCUCCCUAGCUGGUCUGAGAGGAUGACGAGCCGCACUGGAACAGAUACACGGGCCAGACGCCUACGAGAGGCAGCAGGGGGGGAUAUUGCACAAUGUGCGCAAGCCUGGUACAACCAUGCCGGGUGUAUGAAGAAGGCCGUCGGGGUGUAAAGUACUUUCAGCGGGGAGGCGUUACCCGCAGAAGAAGCACCGGCUAACUCCGUGCCAGCAGCCGCGGUAAUUC
rnacentral:rRNA from 1 species